rnacentral:rRNA from 1 species
GAUGAACGCUGGCGGCGUGCCUAAUACAUGCAAGUCGAGCGAACAGACGAGGAGCUUGCUCCUCUGACGUUAGCGGCGGACGGGUGAGUAACACGUGGAUAACCUACCUAUAAGACUGGGAUAACUUCGGGAAACCGGAGCUAAUACCGGAUAACAUGUUGAACCGCAUGGUUCAACAGUGAAAGACGGUCUUGCUGUCACUUAUAGAUGGAUCCGCGCCGCAUUAGCUAGUUGGUAAGGUAACGGCUUACCAAGGCAACGAUGCGUAGCCGACCUGAGAGGGUGAUCGGCCACACUGGAACUGAGACACGGUCCAGACUCCUACGGGAGGCAGCAGUAGGGAAUCUUCCGCAAUGGGCGAAAGUCUGACGGAGCAACGCCGCGUGAGUGAAGAAGGUCUUCGGAUCGUAAAACUCUGUUAUUAGGGAAGAACAAAUGUGUAAGUAACUAUGCACGUCUUGACGGUACCUAAUCAGAAAGCCACGGCUAACUACGUG